AGUUGAACAUGCAGGAUAUGUUGCGCAACUUGCGAGCUGUUUGGCUUAUAGAAUGGCAACAGUGUGAUCGCGUGUAGCUGAGCUAGAGUCCUCUGGGGAUUUGCCCUUUUUCUGGCCUGUUAUGGCAAACAUGUUUUCUUGCUUUUGUGGUUGAGGUGUAAAGGAUGCUUGCAUGAGGGCUUGUUGGGCAUCCAUGCUUG
rnacentral:lncRNA from 1 species